CUACGGGUUGCAGCAGUGGGGAAUAUUGGACAAUGGGGGAAACCCUGAUCCAGCAAUGCCGCGUGUGUGAAGAAGGCCUGCGGGUUGUAAAGCACUUUCGGUUGGGAGGACUGCUUCUAGCACUAAUAUUGUUGGAAGUUGACGUUACCUUCAGAAGAAGCACCGGCUAACUCCGUGCCAGCAGCCGCGGUAAUACGGAGGGUACAUGCGUUAAUCGGAAUUACUGGGCGUAAAGCGCGCGUAGGCGGCUAGAUCAGUCGGGUGUGAAAGCCCCGGGCUUAACCUGGGAACUGCAUCCGAUACUGUCUAGCUUGAGUACAGGAGAGGAGAGUGGAAUUCCACAUGUAGCGGUGAAAUGCGUAGAUAUGUGGAGGAACACCAAUGGCGAAGGCAGCUCUCUGGCCUGAUACUGACGCUGAGGUGCGAAAGCGUGGGGAGCAAACAGGAUUAGAUACCCCGGUAGUC
rnacentral:rRNA from 1 species